rnacentral:rRNA from 1 species
UACGGAGGGGCUAGCGUUGUUCGGAAUUACUGGGCGUAAAGCGCGCGUAGGCGGCUUUGUAAGUUAGAGGUGAAAGCCCGGAGCUCAACUCCGGAACUGCCUUUAAGACUGCAUCGCUAGAAUUGUGGAGAGGUAAGUGGAAUUCCGAGUGUAGAGGUGAAAUUCGUAGAUAUUCGGAAGAACACCAGUGGCGAAGGCGACUUACUGGACACAUAUUGACGCUGAGG